AUGCAUGAAAAAACUCUGUGCAAGUGCAAAACAUCCUGAUCGAGUGUCAAGGGAUCGCAGUAAAUAGUUCCAACCAGGGUCAAUGGCACGCCACAAAAAAUCCUGAUCAACAAGAGGAUUGUCAAAGAUGUGGAGAAGCUGAGCUAUCACUACCAAACAUCAUCCCUGGAGGCCUUCCACAGCUUGAUCCUGCGCUUUGCACCCAUGAAUGGUGGUAGUUUUCCCUUUUAUGGGAAUGCUGUGCAGUUGUACCCUGCAGUCAUGUACUACAAUGAAAAUGCGGAUCACAAGCAAGCCACGACAUCUGCAGGACAACUGGUAUUCAAGGUUGUGUUCCCCAAGUCCAAGAAGGAAUAUGUGGAAGAACUGAUGAAGCUUGUCUUCGAGGAGGUGUUUGCGGACCCAAUACCAUUUGUUGAGGUGUUGAAGAUGAUCCUCAUCACCAAGGACCUGGCAUCCCCAAGGACCUGGCAUCCCAGUACGAGAGACCCUCAAAGGAGGAAGUGGUUGCCUGCCAUGUGUUCCACUUUAGUCAAGGGGCAGUCGGAACCCUACAUACUGUCCAUCCAGAUCAGGAAACUCUAGAUGCAGCUCCAGCGAACCCACCAUCAGUCCUCCCUAGUCCUAUCCAACUCUCAGUUGAAG